rnacentral:rRNA from 1 species
GUGAGGAAUAUUGGUCAAUGGACGGAAGUCUGAACCAGCCAUGCCGCGUGCAGGAAUAAGGUCCUAUGGAUUGUAAACUGCUUUUAUUCGGGAAUAAACCUCUUUACGUGUAGGGAGCUGAAGGUACCGAAGGAAUAAGCACCGGCUAACUCCGUGCCAGCAGCCGCGGUAAUACGGAGGGUGCAAGCGUUAUCCGGAAUCAUUGGGUUUAAAGGGUCCGCAGGCGGGCUAUCAAGUCAGAGGUGAAAUCCCACAGCUUAACUGUGGAACUGCCUUUGAAACUGAUGGUCUUGAAUUAAGUGGGCGUUGGCGGAAUAUGACAUGUAGCGGUGAAAUGCAUAGAUAUGUCAUGGAACACUGAAAGCGAAGGCAGCUAACGAUACUUAUAUUGACGCUCAUGGACGAAAGCGUGGGUAGCGAACAGGAUUAGAUACCCCGGUAGUCC